rnacentral:rRNA from 1 species
GAUUAAGUUAUUAAGGGCGCACGGUGGAUGCCUUGGCACUAGAAGCCGAUGAAGGACGUUACUAACGACGAUAUGCUUUGGGGAGCUGUAAGUAAGCUUUGAUCCAGAGAUUUCCGAAUGGGGAAACCCAGCAUGAGUUAUGUCAUGUUAUCGAUAUGUGAAUACAUAGCAUAUCAGAAGGCACACCCGGAGAACUGAAACAUCUUAGUACCCGGAGGAAGAGAAAGAAAAUUCGAUUCCCUUAGUAGCGGCGAGCGAAACGGGAAGAGCCCAAACCAACAAGCUUGCUUGUUGGGGUUGUAGGACACUCUAUACGGAGUUACAAAGGACGACAUUAGACGAAUCAUCUGGAAAGAUGAAUCAAAGAAGGUAAUAAUCCUGUAGUCGAAAAUGUUGUCUCUCUUGAGUGGAUCCUGAGUACGACGGAGCACGUGAAAUUCCGUCGGAAUCUGGGAGGACCAUCUCCUAAGGCUAAAUACUCUCUAGUGACCGAUAGUGAACCAGUACCGUGAGGGAAAGGUGAAAAGCACCCCGGAAGGGGAGUGAAAUAGAACCUGAAACCGUGUGCUUACAAGUAGUCAGAGCCCGUUAAUGGGUGAUGGCGUGCCUUUUGUAGAAUGAACCGGCGAGUUACGAUUUGAUGCAAGGUUAAGCAGUAAAUGUGGAGCCGUAGCGAAAGCGAGUCUGAAUAGGGCGUUUAGUAUUUGGUCGUAGACCCGAAACCAGGUGAUCUACCCUUGGUCAGGUUGAAGUUCAGGUAACACUGAAUGGAGGACCGAACCGACUUACGUUGAAAAGUGAGCGGAUGAACUGAGGGUAGCGGAGAAAUUCCAAUCGAACCUGGAGAUAGCUGGUUCUCUCCGAAAUAGCUUUAGGGCUAGCCUCAAGUGAUGAUUAUUGGAGGUAGAGCACUGUUUGGACGAGGGGCCCCUCUCGGGUUACCGAAUUCAGACAAACUCCGAAUGCCAAUUAAUUUAACUUGGGAGUCAGAACAUGGGUGAUAAGGUCCGUGUUCGAAAGGGAAACAGCCCAGACCACCAGCUAAGGUCCCAAAAUAUAUGUUAAGUGGAAAAGGAUGUGGCGUUGCCCAGACAACUAGGAUGUUGGCUUAGAAGCAGCCAUCAUUUAAAGAGUGCGUAAUAGCUCACUAGUCGAGUGACACUGCGCCGAAAAUGUACCGGGGCUAAACAUAUUAC